GCCUCCAUAGCUCAAUUGGUAGAGCAGCGGACUCUUAAUCCGUUGGUUCUAGGUUCGAGUCCUAGUGGAGGCACCA
rnacentral:tRNA from 1 species